rnacentral:miRNA from 1 species
CUUGUCUGACCUCUCUCCCUGCAG